rnacentral:rRNA from 1 species
AAACUCGCCUACAUGAAGCUGGAGUUACUAGUAAUCGCAGAUCAGAAUGCUGCGGUGAAUGCGUUCCCGGGUCUUGUACACACCGCCCGUCACACCACGGAAGUUGGGGCGCCCUAAGCCACUUAGCUAACCCUUUUGGGAAGCGAGUGUCGAAGGUGAAAUCAAUAACUGGGGUGAAGUCGUAACAAGGUAGC